rnacentral:lncRNA from 1 species
CGGGAGGGGACCGAGCGUGUCCUGGAGAGUCUCACACUAGCAAUGAGCUGCUCCAGCCAGAAGUGGAGCCUCUCGUCAUUCAUUUGGGAGAGCCAGACACACGGAAAGCAGAGCACAGGAACUAUUUGGUGAACAGCCUCGGUGACUCCUGGGGUCUUUGCUGUCUUGAACACACGAGAUACAUUAAACCUUUACCAUGUUCAUGAUCUGUUCCCCAUCAAGAAUGGUUGCUCCACAAGGUCUUUAUCUGUUUUGUUCGCAGAUGUGUCUUCAGUGUUCACAGAUGUGUCUUCAGUGCCCAGUACAGGGCUUGCCAAAAGCAUUCAUCAAGCACCUGAAAGAGGAUAUCUACUCCAGGGCCUACAACCUCCUUUAAAGAAUAAUUUUCUUCCAGUCGGUGCAUCAAAACCUCACUCGUAUCUGGAAUCUCAUUGCAUUCAACAGCCAUGAAUCAGCAGAGCUUGUUCAGAAAUCUCUGGAACCCCUUGGAGGGUAAUAGGGUUGUGAG